AUUGAACGCUGGCGGCAGGCCUAACACAUGCAAGUCGAGCGAGCGGCGGACGGGUGAGUAAUGUCUGGGAAACUGCCUGAUGGAGGGGGAUAACUACUGGAAACGGUAGCUAAUACCGCAUACCAUCAGAUGUGCCCAGAUGGGAUUAGCUAGUAGGUGGGGUAACGGCUCACCUAGGCGACGAUCCCUAGCUGGUCUGAGAGGAUGACCAGCAACCCUGUAACUGAAACAGGGGCCAGACCCCUACGGGGGGAAGCAUGGGGGAAUAUUGCACAAUGGGCGCAAGCCUGAUGCAGCCAUGCCGCGUGUGUGAAGAGGGCCUUCGGUUUGAAAAGCACUUUCAGCGGGGAGGCGUUACCCGCAGAAGAAGCACCGGCUAACUCCGUGCCAGCAGCCGCGUUAUAC
rnacentral:rRNA from 1 species